rnacentral:rRNA from 1 species
UCCGUAGGGUGAACCUGCGGAGGGAUCAUUACACAAUAUGAAAGCGGGUUGGGACCUCACCUCGGUGAGGGCUCCAGCUUGUCUGAAUUAUUCACCCAUGUCUUUUGCGCACUUCUUGUUUCCUGGGCGGGUUCGCCCGCCACCAGGACCAAACCAUAAACCUUUUUGUAAUUGCAAUCAGCGUCAGUAAACAAUGUAAUUAUUACAACUUUCAACAACGGAUCUCUUGGUUCUGGCAUCGAUGAAGAACGCAGCGAAAUGCGAUACGUAGUGUGAAUUGCAGAAUUCAGUGAAUCAUCGAAUCUUUGAACGCACAUUGCGCCCUUUGGUAUUCCAAAGGGCAUGCCUGUUCGAGCGUCAUUUGUACCCUCAAGCUUUGCUUGGUGUUGGGCGUCUUUGUCUCUCACGAGACUCGCCUUAAAAUGAUUGGCAGCCGACCUACUGGUUUCGGAGCGCAGCACAAUUCUUGCACUUUGAAUCAGCCUUGGUUGAGCAUCCAUCAAGACCNACAUUUUUUUCAACUUUUGACCUCGGAUCAGGUAGGGAUACCCGCUGAACUUAAGCAUAUCAAUAAGCGGAGGAA